AGCCGUGACACAGGGACAUUCUCCAGUCCUGGUGCUGUGUGGGACAGCAGGGUGGGUGGGAAAUGAGCCAAGGAGUUGUGGGGCCAGCAAAAUGGUGGGGAGCCCAGGUGGAACAUGGCUGCGAUCCUGGGGAAGAGGACGAAAGGGAUAAGGCCAUAGGUGGUGUAGCCAGUGGACAGGGUGGGUAGGGGCCCAACAAUUGCUCUGUCCCAGGGCCCAGAUAUACUUUAAUCAUCCUCUGUGCUCCAUCUUCUAUGAUCAACAGAGGGGAGAUUGUUCCAUUCAGUAAAAGGAAGAAAGGUUGUCGUUGUGCAUACCAUGAAAGAAGCCCUGCAACUCUUUAAAAGGUAUCAUGACAGUCCAGAGGGUGGACAUCUAGGAAUAUUCAAAACCAGGAAUGCGCUGACAGCAAAAUACUAUUGGCCAGGGAUUACAAAAGACAUUGCCAAUUGGGUUGCACAGUGUCUGACUGUGGGAAAGAGGGAAAGCAAUCAAAUCUGGAUUCCACCUUGAAAAGCAUAAAGGUCACUUGGAUCUGGGAAUUGGUGGGAAUGGAUUUAAUAGGACCGUUACCAGUAACAAAGGAUGGAUACCAGUAUAUACUUACAGCCAUAGAUUAUCUUUCAAGAUGGGUGGAAGCCUUUCCACUUAGAAAUAAGUCAUCAUCGGAGGUGGUAGAGAUCAUGUUCAGCAUGAUUCUUCGACGUGGAUGCCCACAGCGGAUACUGACAGAUCAUGGUGCAGAAUUCAAUAAUACGCUUAACUUGUAUGUUUGUAAUAAAUUGGGAAUAGAACGUAGCUUCACCAGUCCGUACCACCCACAAACCAAUGGCUUGGCUGAAAACGCUAAUAAAUCCAUAAAAAGAGCACUGCGGAAGAUGAUUGAUGACAAUGGGAGUAAUUGGGAUAAAUUACUUGAACCCAUUUUGUUUUCUUUGCGAACUAAAAUACAUGCAACAACAAAAAUUUCACCUUUCUGACUAAUGUUUUGUGAUGACGCAGUGUUUCCAGAAGAUGUCUUAGAUAAUUACACGAUCCCAGAUCUGAAUAUGUUAGUGGAAGAUUUCUGCAAAGAGUACAGCAUGAAUAUGAAAUCGAGACAUGACGCUGACAUUGCGCUGCCACUAAGUAACAUUGCUAAAGCAUAAGAAAAACAACAAAGACAUUAUGCUAAAAGAAAGACUUCUAAAUAUGGGGAAAUAACAUUUGAAGUUGGGGACUCUGUACUAAUACUGAAUGCUAGACAGAGAACAAGAAAAGGAGGAGUAUUGGAAUCUAAAUAUCAGGAACCAUACAAAAUUAUGAGUGUUGAAGGUAAGAGAAUGAAAUUACAAACCAUCUCAGGGAAACAGUUAGGAACCAUGUACAGUAUUGCACACUUAAAACAAGUAAAAGAGCCAACAACAUUAGCUGCUGAAAGCACAUCAGAGGGAAAAACUGGAACUGAAAUUGGAGUUGGUGACACUGAACCAGAAACACCCACGGAAGAGAUUAGAGAAGUGGAUGGCACUGUAUCUCAUGACAGCAAAGUGGAAAACAUAGAGGUCACAGCAAUAGAAAAAGAGGAAUAUAUAGGGCAAGAUGUGUCAAACAAUGAUACAAGUGAUGCUGAUGACAGUUUUGAUGACAUGCUUACAGAGGAAGUGGAAGACAAGCAAUGGUUUCUGAAAGGUAAUUGGUUACUGCUCUUUUCUUAAACAGAUUAACAUACUUUAUAACUUGAACUAUAUUAAAGGUUUUCAUGUACAAAGUGGCGGCAUUGACAGUAUUAAAGCAGAGAAAAAGGAAACUGUAUUACCAUGCAUGUAAUACGUGUUAAUAUUUUUUUCCUAGUAAAAUUGGUAAUGACCAGCAAACACACAGAGAGACUGGAGGCCAAAGUGAGAAACAUUAAAUUGUAUGGCUCUUCAUUUCAUUGCCUGAAACCGAGAAGCUGGAUAAGUGAUGAGGUUAUUGAUGCAUUUUUGAGCUGUGUAGUUGAGAAAGCAGAUGGAAAGAGUGAAUUACUUCAAAAUGAUAUAUUAUUGCUUCCUUACCACACACCAGGUCAUUGGGUUCUUGCGAUUGCCUUGAUGAAAAAAAAGGAAUUGUUAAUAAUUGACCCCUUGUGUGAUGAGAUCAGAUAUGAAAGAACAUGCCUGAGGAAUUGGAGAAACUUCAUCAAAUGAUUAACUAGUAAAUCCUCAUCUGAUUGGAACAGUAAAAUUGUGCAGCAUCCCAGACAAAGUGAUGGCCACAACUGUGGACCACUCAUCUUAAAGUUUGCAGAAACAUAUUUGCAGCACAAAGACAUCAGUACGGUGGAAACAACACAGAAGGCUAAUACUGCGUUUAGAAGAGGUAUAGCAAUUCUUCCAAUGAAGGAGUCAGAAAGCGUGGAGGACUACUGCAUAUACUGCAACCUUAUCGACUGUGAAAAAGAAAGUGAGGAUUGCACGAUGGUCCAGUGUGAUUCUUGCAAGAGGUGGGCACACAUACUAUGCAUUACAGAAGGAAUCAAUCAAGAAAACCUGACAUAUGAGAAGAAAGAGUACAACUGCAAGACAUGUGCAUAGUUCACUUCAUUA